ensembl:misc_RNA Metazoa_SRP Metazoan signal recognition particle RNA
GCCGGGCCCGGUGGCGCGUGCCUGUAAUCCAAGUGUCCGGGAGGCUGAGGUUGGCGGAUCGACUGAGCUGUGGAGUUCUAGGCUGCUGCGUGCUAUGUCGAACGGGCGUCCCUACUAAGUUCGGUAUCGAUAUGGUUUGCCUGGGGGAGCCCGGGCUCACCAGGUCGUCUAAGGAGGGGUGCACCGGCCCAGGUCGGAAACGAAGCAGGUCAAAGCCCCCGUGCCGUCCAGUGGUGGGAUUGCGCCUGUGAGUAGACGUUGCACCCUGGCCAUGGCGAGACAUCGAAACACAAUCUUUU